CACGUAGGCGGUCUGGCAAGUCUGGUGUGAAAGCCCUCGGCUCAACCGAGGAACUGCACCAGAAACUGCCGGACUAGAGUUCGGGAGAGGAGAGUGGAAUUCCCAGUGUAGCGGUGAAAUGCGUAGAUAUUGGGAGGAACACCUGUGGCGAAGGCGGCUCUCUGGACCGAUACUGACGCUGAGGUGCGAAAGCGUGGGGAGCAAACA
rnacentral:rRNA from 1 species